UUUGAAUGAAAUGUUUAAUUGGAACUGAAAUUAAGCAUUUCAUUUUAGGCAUUUAUAAGGCAAGCAAAGGAAAUGCAGGAUUGCUCGAUUUUCACAUCCCUGCCACCCUUUUAUGUAAUCGAUCAGCGUUUUGAGCACUGAUGUGGGUGACCUCCCAGAUUUGGGUGACUUGGGUUUAAUUCCCUAUACUGCCUAAAUGAGAUUGGAAUAUACAUCUCUCACAAGAGGACCUUACCUAUAGAUCCAGGCCCUACCAGGCUGGAUCUGGAUCACAUGGCAUCUCACAGGCUGGAUCUGGACCUACCUUCAGCGAUGGGGAUGACUUCAUGAACGUAUCCAAAGUCAAAAUGGCCAAGACAAUAUUAAUUGCAGCGUCAGUCAUAAUCAUGUGUGGGCACAUGAUAAUCACAUGAACAAGAAUGCAGAAGAUUGAUGUAAGCCGUAAAUAUUAAGGGCCAGAUCUUCAUCUGGACUUUACAGACUUCAGCGGAGCUAUAAAAUUCACAUCAGCUGAGCAGCUGCUCCUUAAUGUUGUAUAGGUUUUGCUCAACUACUGUAACUUCUACCUCUAAUAGUCAUCAGCAACAUUAAUGAAUUAAUGGGAUAUUUGCUGAAGCUGGUUCCUCUUUUCUUUUCUUUUCCUGAAAAAAGACACGGGGGACAGGCUAAGAAGAGCUGAAGACAUGCGUAUUCCAUUUGAAAUCCAUGAUUAAAAAGCUUAAAAAUUCAAAUCAACGUAAAAAACUGUUUUAUUUUAAUCCUCUGGAAGGUUUCAGUGAACUCCAUUAUUUUCACUCACUAUUUGCUUGAAUAAUUUAGGCAAGAAAGCUAAAUUAUACAUAAAGUGUACAGUUAGAAGAAAAAGUUCAUGCACAGCCUCAGGCUAUAGCCAUCCCCUAAUGAUGUCUGUAGUCAGUGGAAAAGAACUCGUUAGACUGAGAGUAAUUUCUCAGGGUUUAAAUUUUUUUCUUAAAGCAAUAAUGUUCUUAUAAAAAUCUGACAAAUAAUAUACUAACCCAAAAGCCACAAAAGAAAGACUAUUCUGAAGACUACAGCCCUAUAAAUUUUCAUUUAAUUUUGCGUAAAGGCUGGCUCCCCAUAUACAAUAUAUUGUUGUUGGCAGUCUUCAGUGAUCUGAUUAAAAAGGGGAAAUGCAUGUCUUGAUAUAACUUAGUUCCUAUUUUGCCUAAUCAGGAUCCUGAAUUUUGCAGAGUUAAAAUAAAUGCACUGUGGCUUUCUGAGUCAAACUGGUACCUAUUGUGAAAGGGUUACUUUUCUACACUGUACCUGGCCAUUUUUUGCUAGUAGUUGCAACUUGCUACCUUGUUGUGUUUAAGGAGCAAUUCACAUCAUUAAAGAUGUAUGGCCUGGUUCACUAAAGUUUUACAUGCAUGCCCUUUAAACUUGACAACAGAGAACAGGCAUGUGAAAAAGGACCUGUUUACCAAAAUUCUGCAAUUCACUUCAUAUUUGGUUGCACAUCCCUUCCCGUACUUCAACUUCUUUCCCCAAAACUGGACAUUGUACGAAGUACUAUCCCUGGCACCAGUGAAUUCAGCUGAAGCCAUUUCAUGAGCUAACAAGAGGCUAUGGAAUGGAAAUUAACCAAUCUAAAUUUGUUCAUCAGAUUCAACCUAUGAUCAAAGUAUCUUAGCUAGAGCAGAGAAAGGAACAAGUAAGUUUAAUCAAAUUGUUCUUUAGAGUCCUCUGCAUGGCAUGAAUAACUUUCUAUAAUAUUAAUAAUUUUAUAUCAUCUUACCCUUGUAUUACUCUGUCACAUUAGUUUAAUAUUACUACCAUGUACAGUAGUUUAGUAUUAAUGUGAUACAGAAGUGGAAUUACAUGUGCACUUUCAUAUUGUUAUAUUGAAAUCAAGUUCUCAUAUGACACUAAUACGAUGCAAACCCAAUAAAAUAUACACUUUCUAAUAUAAAGAUAUUUUAUACCA